AGCAGCCGCGGUAAUUCCAGCUCCAAUAGCGUAUAUUAAAGUUGUUGCAGUUAAAAAGCUCGUAGUUGAAUUUCGGGAUUGACACAUCGGUCGUGCCCUAAGGGGUAUGAACUGGUGUAGUCAAUUUCUCACCUUCUGGAGAACCGCGAUGCCCUUAAUUGGGUGUCGCGGGGAACCAGGACCUUUACUUUGAAAAAAUUAGAGUGUUUAAAGCAGGCAUUUUGCUUGAAUACAUUAGCAUGGAAUAAUAAAAUAGGACGGCAUGAUUCUAUUUUGUUGGUUUCUAGGAUCACCGUAAUGAUUAAUAGGGAUAGUUGGGGGCAUUAGUAUUCAAUUGUCAGAGGUGAAAUUCUUGGAUUUAUUGAAGACUAACUACUGCGAAAGCAUUUGCCAAGGAUGUUUUCAUUAAUCAAGAACGAAAGUUAGGGGAUCGAAGACGAUCAGAUACCGUCGUAGUCUUAACCAUAAACUAUGCCGACUAGGAAUCAGACGAUGUUAAUUUUUUAAUGACUCGUUUGGC
rnacentral:misc_RNA from 1 species